rnacentral:rRNA from 1 species
UACGUAGGAUGCAAGCGUUAUCCGGAAUUAUUGGGCGUAAAGCGUGUGUAGGUGUUUUGUCGCGUCCGCCGUAAAAUCUCCAGGCUCAACUUGGAACUCGCGGUGGAUACGGACAGAAUUGAGGUCGGAAGAGGCAGAUGGAAUUCCCGGUGGAGCAGUGAAAUGCGUAGAUAUCGGGAGGAACACCAAUGGCGAAGGCAGUCUGCUGGGCCGAACCUGACACUGAGACACGAAAGCGUGGGGAGCGAACGGG